rnacentral:lncRNA from 1 species
AUCUGGGGUAGAGCCAGAGAAUUUGCAUCCCUAAUAAGCGCCCAGGUGAUGCAGAUGCUGCUCGUCUGGGGACCACACUUUGAGAACCAUCGCUCAAGAGAACCUUCCUUCCUCAGUCUAGACCUCAUCAUCCGCAGAACAAACCCCCUAUCUCCUCCCAUGGACUUUCCCUCACCGCCCAGAUAGACUCUUCCCUUUUCCCCACACAGACCUCCUCCAUUCCCUGAGAUGGAUCCUUUCCUUUCCCCGGGAUCCUCUCCAAUUGCCACCCCAGAACCCCUCCCUCACCACCACCAAGGCAGAGCCUCCAUCCAGGGCAGGUUCCCUAGGCCCAGACAGGUAAGGGUUGAUGAUAAUUGGCUUAAGAGGAGCGAGGCAGCAGUACAAAAUUCCCAUCUCAGCUUAGCGCCAGGAGCUAAUCUAGCACACAGGCUGCUCUGGGCAGGGAUUUGUGGGAGAAGCAGUUGGUCCCUCGUCCACAGUGCCUCCCUUGCCCGCUGUGACAGUCUCAUCUUUGAACAGAACGAUUAUAAAGUCUAUUUGUCAAUGGAAGGACCCUCUGCUGGCCACUUGGGGAAAUGCAGCCCAGGACUGGGAAAGAAGGGUGAAACAAGACGGAGGCCGACACAGCCCUUCCCUGAGGCAGGCAGUGAAGACGGGCAGAGGCAACCGAGUCAGGGUGGUGGAGGGGUACCUACUAGGCAGAGUCACUGCUGUUUCCUUAAAAUAAAAUCUUUACUGUUUUAAAAUUAUAAGAAUAUAAGAUAUACAGCAAAAUCAAGCAAUAUCAAAGUGUAUUUUUUGAAGCAUAAUACUCUCUCCAUCUCUCUCCUGCUGUGUAGUGCCAUUUCCUUGCAAGAACAAAAAAACGAGGGGUUCUCCAAAGCUGCAGAAUGCCCAGGUUGUCUGCCCAAGAAUCUGUCUCUUUUUUCUCGAGAACUUAAACACUUCCCUCCUCCCAGUCUCAGCUGGCAGUGUUCCUUCUCCUAGAAUUUGAACUCCCACCACACCCCUCGCCUGCAUCCUUUGCAUGGAACCAGCCUCAGACCCGGCGUCCGCCCCGUUUUUCUCUGAGGCCUGUUGCCCUCCUCCUAACACAGGGCCCUCGCCACUGGAGGGUGGGACAGAAAGGUCACUGCUGGUAGGCAUUCAAAAUGCCUUAUUUCCCUUGGUCUCUUCUAUUCCAAAGGCCUCUGUCUCCACUCAUAGCCUACCUCCCUGUGGACAUACUCUGGACUCUGGAUAGCUCCAUUUAAAAAUGUCCCCUUUCUGACCACAACCGUUCCCUCCUGUCCUCUAAACUUCAGUUCCUCACUGGAACCUCCAGGGCUUUGAUUCUAACUACUACCUUCCAGUCUCCCAGGGCCUCUUGGUCCAGCCUGGACCUCCUGAUCCUUCUCCAGCUGCUUUAAUUACUCUGCUCCUUGGCCCCAGGCAAUCCAU